rnacentral:rRNA from 1 species
AAAUUGAAGAGUUUGAUCAUGGCUCAGAUUGAACGCUGGCGGCAGGCCUAACACAUGCAAGUCGAACGGUAACAGGAAGCAGCUUGCUGCUUCGCUGACGAGUGGCGGACGGGUGAGUAAUGUCUGGGAAACUGCCUGAUGGAGGGGGAUAACUACUGGAAACGGUGGCUAAUACCGCAUAACGUCGCAAGACCAAAGAGGGGGACCUUCGGGCCUCUUGCCAUCAGAUGUGCCCAGAUGGGAUUAGCUUGUUGGUGAGGUAACGGCUCACCAAGGCGACGAUCCCUAGCUGGUCUGAGAGGAUGACCAGCCACACUGGAACUGAGACACGGUCCAGACUCCUACGGGAGGCAGCAGUGGGGAAUAUUGCACAAUGGGCGCAAGCCUGAUGCAGCCAUGCCGCGUGUAUGAAGAAGGCCUUCGGGUUGUAAAGUACUUUCAGCGGGGAGGAAGGUGUUGUGGUUAAUAACCGCAGCAAUUGACGUUACCCGCAGAAGAAGCACCGGCUAACUCCGUGCCAGCAGCCGCGGUAAUACGGAGGGUGCAAGCGUUAAUCGGAAUUACUGGGCGUAAAGCGCACGCAGGCGGUCUGUCAAGUCGGAUGUGAAAUCCCCGGGCUCAACCUGGGAACUGCAUUCGAAACUGGCAGGCUUGAGUCUUGUAGAGGGGGGUAGAAUUCCAGGUGUAGCGGUGAAAUGCGUAGAGAUCUGGAGGAAUACCGGUGGCGAAGGCGGCCCCCUGGACAAAGACUGACGCUCAGGUGCGAAAGCGUGGGGAGCAAACAGGAUUAGAUACCCUGGUAGUCCACGCCGUAAACGAUGUCUACUUGGAGGUUGUGCCCUUGAGGCGUGGCUUCCGGAGCUAACGCGUUAAGUAGACCGCCUGGGGAGUACGGCCGCAAGGUUAAAACUCAAAUGAAUUGACGGGGGCCCGCACAAGCGGUGGAGCAUGUGGUUUAAUUCGAUGCAACGCGAAGAACCUUACCUGGUCUUGACAUCCACAGAAGUUUCCAGAGAUGGAUUGUGCCUUCGGGAACUGUGAGACAGGUGCUGCAUGGCUGUCGUCAGCUCGUGUUGUGAAAUGUUGGGUUAAGUCCCGCAACGAGCGCAACCCUUAUCCUUUGUUGCCAGCGAUUAGGUCGGGAACUCAAAGGAGACUGCCAGUGAUAAACUGGAGGAAGGUGGGGAUGACGUCAAGUCAUCAUGGCCCUUACGACCAGGGCUACACACGUGCUACAAUGGCGCAUACAAAGAGAAGCGACCUCGCGAGAGCAAGCGGACCUCAUAAAGUGCGUCGUAGUCCGGAUUGGAGUCUGCAACUCGACUCCAUGAAGUCGGAAUCGCUAGUAAUCGUGGAUCAGAAUGCCACGGUGAAUACGUUCCCGGGCCUUGUACACACCGCCCGUCACACCAUGGGAGUGGGUUGCAAAAGAAGUAGGUAGCUUAACCUUCGGGAGGGCGCUUACCACUUUGUGAUUCAUGACUGGGGUGAAGUCGUAACAAGGUAACCGUAGGGGAACCUGCGGUUGGAUCACCUCCUUACCUUAAAGAAGC